AGGGGGGGUGCUAAUACAUGCAAGUCGAGCGAACUGAUUAGAAGCUUGCUUCUAUGACGUUAGCGGCGGACGGGUGAGUAACACGUGGGCAACCUGCCUGUAAGACUGGGAUAACUUCGGGAAACCGAAGCUAAUACCGGAUAGGAUCUUCUCCUUCAUGGGAGAUGAUUGAAAGAUGGUUUCGGCUAUCACUUACAGAUGGGCCCGCGGUGCAUUAGCUAGUUGGUGAGGUAACGGCUCACCAAGGCAACGAUGCAUAGCCGACCUGAGAGGGUGAUCGGCCACACUGGGACUGAGACACGGCCCAGACUCCUACGGGAGGCAGCAGUAGGGAAUCUUCCGCAAUGGACGAAAGUCUGACGGAGCAACGCCGCGUGAGUGAUGAAGGCUUUCGGGUCGUAAAACUCUGUUGUUAGGGAAGAACAAGUACAAGAGUAACUGCUUGUACCUUGACGGUACCUAACCAGAAAGCCACGGCUAACUACGUGCCAGCAGCCGCGGUAAUACGUAGGUGGCAAGCGUUAUCCGGAAUUAUUGGGCGUAAAGCGCGCGCAGGCGGUUUCUUAAGUCUGAUGUGAAAGCCCACGGCUCAACCGUGGAGGGUCAUUGGAAACUGGGGAACUUGAGUGCAGAAGAGAAAAGCGGAAUUCCACGUGUAGCGGUGAAAUGCGUAGAGAUGUGGAGGAACACCAGUGGCGAAGGCGGCUUUUUGGUCUGUAACUGACGCUGAGGCGCGAAAGCUGAACCC
rnacentral:rRNA from 2 species